ensembl:rRNA 5S_rRNA 5S ribosomal RNA
GUCUAUAACCACAGCACCCUGCACGUACCCAAUCCUGCUUGAUCUUGGAAGCUAAGAGUUAGGGUCAGGACUGGUUGGUACUUGGAUGGGAGAAAACUGAGACUGAAGAGGUUGCUUAAGGUC